AAAACUCAAAAUUUAUUAAAAUUACUUCGAAACCCUAAUUUCCCGACUCUCUCUCUCUCUCUGCAAUCCGACCUUUCUUUCUCCCCCACCACCACCAGCGCCUUCUCCGACGAUCACCACCACCACCACUGCCUCCCGGUUCUCCGACGACCACCACCACUAGCGCAUCUCGGCUCUCCGACGACCACCACCAGCAGCAGCGGCUCCCAAUUCUCCGACGACCACCACCACUUGCGCCUCCCGAUUCUCCAACCACCACCAUCGCAACCAGGCCUCCCGGCUCUCCGAAGACCACCACCACCAGCGCCUCCCGGCUCUCCGACGACCACCAGCAAAGCCGCUCUCUCUAUCGGGUAUUUUUAGAAUAAAUCUAAUUUAAUUGAUUCAAAUUUAAUCUUCAUUCAACUGAUUUAAUUUAAUUUUUGGUGUCUGUUGUGUGUUUUUGUGUGAGUAUGUUCUGUUUUGCUACUGUGUCGGUGCUCAUUUUUUUUUAGUUUUUUUUUUUCUUUUUGGGGGAAAUUUCCGAAAAAUUUCCGAAAAAUUCCGAAAAUGAAGAUUUCCGAAAAAAUCCGAUUUUCCGAAAAUUCCGAAAAAAUCCGAUUUUCCGAAAAUUCCGAAAAAAUCGGAAUCUUCACUUUUUGAAUUCCGAAAAAAUCGGAAUCGGAAUCGGAAGUCGUUUUGGACUUCCGAAAAAAAUCGGAAAUUUUCCGAAACACCCAAAUCCGAUCCGAUCCGUCCGAUUUCCACCCCUAGAUACACCAUAUAACCAAGCAGUUUAUGGUCUCGUAGAUAAACUAGGUAUGUCAAUCAUAAUCCUUUGCCUUGCCUUGAAUUUAACCUUUCAUGAGAUAGCAUGCAUUCUUAAGAUGGAUUCUAUUGGUGGAUAUGGAUAAUUUUCAGGAUUCCUUUCUAAUGGCAAAAUUACAAAUUCGUACUCGAACAUGGUCAAAAUUGGAUUCCAAAAGCGAUCAUGAAAAUACGUACUAUAGUUCGAGGAAAUGAAUGCGCAUCGAGAAACGUGCACAAAAACAAUCGCUAGUAGAGAUACGCACAUAAAUAAAAGUACAAAACCAUGCACAAAAGUAGUCACGCAAAAGUGCAUUCGCAAAAAGGAUCAUGAAAUCACAAACUACAAUCCUAGGACAUUAAUACAAAUCAACAAACAUGCAUAAGCACCACCCCCUAUACAUGUGGAUGUGUAAAAUAGAUAUGGACACACACACACACACACACGCAUAGUAGAAUAUAACCAUAGACCAAACAACACAUAGUUGAUGCAAUGAUGAGUGGAAAGAAUUCAACUCAAGUUAAUGAUGAGGACGUAGAAGUCAACCCAUAAUCAAAACAAACUCAGAUUCCUCAUCUUUAUCACUCCCACCAGCCAAACACAGCAUAGGAUCCCCUAAUCACACUUUUCAGACAAACAUUCCUAUGUUUUUCAAAGGUUGCUUAUAACCAGCUGAAUUGAUCAGUUAGUAUUUAGACAAAAUGACAAGAGCCCAGAUUUUAUUCUCUCUUCGCUUAAUAUGGCCCUCACUUCAACACUGCUACGCUAUUAGCUCCACCUUUCAAGAAACUAAAUCAGGUAACUUUCCGAAAACCUCCAUCCGAAUGGCUUUUUUGGUAAUUUAGGGUUCUGGUAAUUUAGCACAGUUUUUAUAUAACUACUCGCUUCUGAUCAUACGUAAGGUACAGUCAGUUUCAAGACCAGCACUGCUGUAUACAGCUCGAGAAACAGCAAUCAGGUAAUUUCAGUAAGAACGUUAUAUUUACUAAUGUUCUUUUAAAUUUUGAUGAAAUGAGUAAGAACAGCGUCGUGUUCGACGAACAGAGAAACACGAGGGAGGCAAAUGAGAAGACGAUUCGUAAGAGACCAUCUGAACCGAGCCCAGUUGGAAAUCGUCGUCCACUAACCAGGGCCUGAUAGAAUAAAUGCAGAAAGUAAUUCUUGUACAACUCUAAGUAUAUCUUGUUAGUUGUUGGAGGUUAGAAACAAUAAAUCGAUCUUACGUUCACCUAAAAAUAUCCUUCCGAGUUUUCCUAGCAUCCCUUCGUGACCAUAUUGAUAACAGAGUUUUCGUUACUAAUAUCUUCUAAAUUCCCUCAUCUUAAGCAGAAACAAGCAUGUAUCGGUCUCUUUCUAAUCGAAUAUAUUCAUGUCUCUAUGAUAUAUGUAACUUCUGAAAUUAUGAUGUACACAACUUAGGUGUACUUGGCACCUAACAAAUAAAUUAAUGUUCGUGAUAUCAAAGCUGUAACUUAUACUAAUGACCGGCUACAAAAUGGUCACUAUAUAUCAAUUUUUCGAAUUUUCUACAAAUAUACAGAAAGGUUCACUGUAACUAUAAUAUUUAUUUAGAAUCAUACCGAACGGUUCCGCUUUGAUCGCUUACUUCUCCGAGGCACUGUAGGAACUGGUUUGGUGCUGCUAGAAGCAUAUGCCUCCUCAAGAACUUCCUUAUCCUGCUCGAAGAAAAAAAAUACACUCUUAAAUAAAUUCAGAAAAAACAAAAAGAUGUAUGUAUUACUUUGUCCUUAAAAUGCGGAAGAAACAAAAUAUCUUAUAUAAUUCAUAAAGAACAAUUAGCAAAUCAUUUCAUGUGAAAAAAUGCACUGACGUUUACCUUUGGUUCAUUUUCAUCGUCUGAGUCAUAUUCAGGCUCAGGAUCAACUUUGGCCUGAACAUCAAUUGCAGGCAGUGCAAAAUUCUUUUUCUUCUUUUCUUGAUCUUUCAGCUGUUUAAAUCUGCUAAGAAAAAAGUAAUUCUAGUCACUGAAGAACAUUCUGGGAAAGCAAAAGGAUUUUUUUAAAAAAAUCUUAAAUUUCAAGCCCACCUUUCACCCGAUUGCUCCGACUGAGAACCUGAUCGUUUCACACGUCCAGCGCUGAUUAUCCCACCAGCAUUCUCACUCACAGCAGGCGUUGCACCUCCCAUUUUACGUAACCAUACUUGCUGUGCUGUGCUAAGAACAUUAUUUGUAAACCUAAAAUAUUGAACUCGUUAGUGAUUGUAUUAAGUUAUAUAGUAAGAUAGGCAAGCCAGUGUGCAAUAAAUUAAUUAAGGCAAUUGCCUAAACAGUUUAUUGGUUGUAAAAAAAAAUCAAUUUAUGAAUGACAAAUGUUCCCACAGAAAAAGAAAAGAAUUAGAUUAGUCUCAUUACAUAUGAGUAUCCCAUGCAUGCCACCGUGUAUGAAAUGGAUUAAUAAAUAAUNNNNNNNNNNNNNNNNNNNNNNNNNNNNNNNNNNNNNNNNNNNNNNNNNNNNNNNNNNNNNNNNNNNNNNNNNNNNNNNNNNNNNNNNNNNNNNNNNNNNCAUUUCAUUCCGGAAUUAGAUUCGAUUGCAGUAGACCUCCGGGUCUUUGAUGUACCGCUUUGACUUGUUGGCAUACUAGGCAUACAGCUACGAAUCGGGCCACGUCUUUCUUCAUUCCAGGCCACCAGUAGAGCUUUUUGAGGUCUUGGUACAUCUUGGUUUCUCCGGGAUGGCAAGUGUACGUGGUUUGGUGAGAUUCGGCUAAGAUGAGUCGGCGAACAUUCGGAUCAUCGGGGACGUAAAUGCGAUUUUGGAAUCGGACGAGACCAUCUUUGGAGAUUUGGAAGUUGGGAUUGGAUUCGAGGUUGUCGCGAAUUUUGAGAAUUUGCGGAUCGUUUUGCUGGGCUGAUUUGAUCGAUUCUCCCAAGUUAGGUUGGACGAUGAGUGCGUUGAUCGAUUUGCGGCUAAGUGCGUCAGCGACCACAUUUGCUUUGCCGGGGUGAUAGAGUAUCUCGCAGUCGUAAUCUUUGACUAGUUCGAGCCAUCUUCGUUGCCGCAUGUUCAAGUCUUUUUGAGUGAAGAAAUAUUUCAGACUCUUGUGAUCGGUGUAGAUGGUACACUUUUCACCAUAGAGGUAGUGUCGCCAGAUUUUGAGUGCGAAAACGACGGCGGCUAAUUCGAGAUCGUGCGUUGGAUAAUUGCGUUCGUACUCUUUGAGUUGACGUGAGGCGUAGGCAAUGACUUUUCCAUUUUGCAUAAGUACGGCGCCUAGACCUAAUUUCGAAGCAUCGCUGUAGACUAUGAAUUCUCCGACUUUCUCCGGUAGUGCGAGAAUUGGUGCCGAGGUGAGUCGAGCCUUUAAUUCGUUGAAACUGGCGUCGCAUUCGGGAGUCCACUGAUACUUGACGUCUUUCCGAGUUAAUCGUGUGAGUGGAGAGGCAAGCUUUGAGAAAUCCUUUACGAAUUUGCGGUAGUAGCCGGCUAGUCCAAGGAAACUUCGAAUUUCCUUCGCAUUCUUCGGAAUUGACCAAUUUGACACGGCUUCUAUUUUGCUGGGAUCGACGGAGAUUCCUUGUUUCGAAACAAUGUGACCAAGGAAAGCCACACUCGAAAGCCAGAACUCGCAUUUGCUGAACUUGGCGUAUAGUUGGUGUGAUCGGAGAGUUUGGAGUACGGUACGAAGGUGAGACAUAUGAUCUUCUUGGGUUUUGGAGUAGAUGAGAAUGUCGUCGAUGAAGACAAUCACGAACUGGUCCAAGUAUUGAUGGAAGACUCGGUUCAUCAGGUCCAUGAAAGCUGCGGGGGCGUUGGUUAAGCCGAAGGGCAUAACAACGAAUUCAUAAUGGCCGUAUCGGGUUCUGAAAGCCGUUUUGGGGAUAUCGGAUUCUUUGAUUUUGAGUUGGUGAUAGCCGGAUCGGAGGUCGAUUUUUGAGAAGACCGAUGAGCCUUGGAGUUGGUCGAAAAGAUCAUCGAUUCGAGGAAGAGGGUAUUUAUUCUUGAUCGUGACUUUGUUGAGUUCCCGAUAGUCGAUGCAAAGGCGGAGGGAUCCGUCUUUCUUUUUGACAAAGAGAACCGGUGCUCCCCACGGGGAAUGGCUGGGUCGAACAUAGCCUUUGUCGAGCAAUUCUUGGACUUGGUUCUUCAGUUCCUUUAAUUCCAUCGGGGCCAUGCGGUACGGUGCUUUGGAAAUUGGCGCGGCUCCGGGGAUCAGGUUGAUUUCGAACUCGAUCUCUCGAUCGGGCGGAAGUCCGGGAAUAUCAUCGGGAAAUACGUCGGGAAAUUCUUGGACAGCUCGAAUAUCGGAAAUUUGGGCUUUGGGAUCGGACUCGGAUUUUAGAAUAUCCACUAAGUAGCCGGAAUGACCCUUGUGAAGGAGUUUGACUGCUUUGAUCGCGGAUAUGAUUGGAAUCGAGGGUUUGGGUUGACUUCGAAAUUUUAGGGUUUCGCCGUUCGGAAGUGGAAAAAUGACCGUUUUAGAGGCACAGUCGAUUUGGGCUUUGAAUUUGGUUAACCAGUUCAUGCCUAGUAUAACUUUGAAGUUUUGGAUCGGUAAGAGGAUUAGGUCGAAAUUCAUGGUUUGAGUAUGAACUCGGAUUGGGCAAUUGAGUAUGACUAGGUUAGAGCACAUUUCUUCGCCAGAGGGAAUGAGAAUUCGGUAUUCGUAAUUUAAUCGGUUCGGUUCGAGAUUUAAGUGCGCAAUUAUGUCUUUCGAUAUAAAGGAAUGAGUAGAGCCGGAAUCGAUAAGAGCGUAAAUGGGUUCUUCGAGGAUAAAUAUGGUACCUGCUAUCAUUGACGGGUCUUGCUCGAUCUGUUCUUGAGUCAUGGCGAACACUCGACCGGGGACGUUCGGUGGAGGUUUCGGGCAGUCUUUCACCAUGUGUCCGGGCUGAUGGCAUCGAAAACAGCUCCGUGUUCCGUGUACGCAUUCUCCGGAGUGACUCUUUCCACACUUUGGGCAGGUUGGUCUUGGCGGCGGUGGCGGUGGUCCGGUUGAUUGGCGAAUGGGCUGCGUUCCUUUCCCUCGGAAUGGGCGGUUGCCAAAGUUGUUCUUUUUCCACGGGCGUGGAGUAAUUCCUUGUGGUCGGCGGCUAUUUUGAAUAUCUCGUUCGUCUUGGGCAGCCAUGAGUGCCUUGUCUACUAGUUGGCGGAAAGUUGAGGCGUCGGACAUACGAAUGUCUCUACGGACUUCGGGUUGGAGGCCACGAAUGAAAUGGUUCUUCUUUUCUUCGGCGUCUCGAGCGAUGAAUGGAGCGUAGAGGCAGCCACGUUCGAAACGGCGGAUGUACUCGAUCAUCGGUAAGUCGCCUUGUCGGAGUUCGAGAAAUUCCUUGAGUUUGUGGGCUCGCACGUCUUUCGAGAAGUAUUUUUCGAAAAAUUGGACUUUGAAAUCGGUCCAUGGCAAAGUUUCGAGGUUUGUUCCUUCUUUGAUUCCUUCCCACCAGUUACGAGCUUCGUUUCGGAGGAGGAAAAUGGCACAGUGCACGCGGUCGCGGUCGGUCAUUUGCAUGUAAUCGUAGAUGACUUCGAGAGAUUUGAUCCACUCUUCGGCUAUAGUGGGGUCGGUUCCACCGUGAAAUUCGGAUGGGUUCAUUCGGAGAAAUCGUUCGUAUAUGGCUUGAGGCGCAUUAUUUUGAGGCGGGUUUUGGUUACGUUGGAGAAGUUGUUCGAUUUGACGUUGGUGGUUUUGGGCUUGUUCUCGGAUUAAAUUGGAGAGAUUAUUAAUGGUUUGAUUGGGGUCGUGCGGUUCAUCGGCGGGAUUGCUCGGGUUUGCUCGGGUUAUACGUCUCGCCAUUAUUUCUAUAUUAAUUAUCAUUAAUAAGUAAAGCAAAUAAAACACAUAAGGAAAAUAAUACACAUACGUUACCGGGUGGUCCGAGUUUUGCGUCUCGAGUAGUCUCUAAGCCCGUGAAGUUCGUACGAGUAUCUAUGAACAAUGCUCUGAUACCACUCUCUGUAGCACCCCCCUUCUAGUCGGGCGAUAAAUCGAACCGGUUUAUCGGAAUUUCUUACUAAAGUAGCGGAAGCAAAGGAUCUCUUUGUAAUUUUUGAAAUGUUGGGAUGGGGUGAAAAUACAAUUAUCGAAACUUUGUUCUUUUGGGUGUUGAAGACUUGGCAUUUUCGAAAACUUUUAUUGAAUUGAUUUAGCCGAAUAUAAAUCUCGGUUGGAAAUGAAUUUCGAAAGGAGGUUUCUUAUUCGAGUGCUACAUUCUCACUAAACGUUCUUUUCGGUUCGAGAAUAAAUCAGAGUUCGAAAAGGUUAUUUUGGUGAAUAAUCCGAAGUUUCCUAACGAAGGCAUGAAAAUGGCGAUUUACGAAACUUAAUAUAUUUAAGCUGGGAAAUAAGUACGAUUCAUAAUGAAAAACGAGUUCAAAAGUACGAAAGGGAAAUGUUACGGUUUUAGGGUUACACCACCAAAAGAAAUAACCAAAAUUCUAGCAUUCGUUCAUAGGUCCUCGUACGUCUUCCAAAAUCCCGGGCAAGACCUCGAUCCACUACUCGAUCCAUCCCGGUUGAGGAUUACUACUACCUGCAAUUAAAAGACAUCUAUAUGAGCUAAAAAAAGCUCAGUAAGAAAUCCGAGUAUUAUCAAACUUUAGAAAUACGUUAUAUACAUAAUAUAUAUAAUAGAGUAUACCCGUUCUUACCCACGUUUCGCACAACAACACAAGGCAAUCGGUCAAAUCACAUAUUUCACGAAAGCACAUCAUUUCACAAGAUCACGUAAUUAUGCAAAAAUGACUAAAAUGCCCUUUUUGUGAAAAUCAUGAAAAACACAUUUUUCGGUUUAUCGGAUCCGUGAAAGAUUAAUUUCUGUACCGAAUAAUAAACCUGUUACGAGCCCGUUUUCACUAAGUGGAAUCAAACCACUACCACAUCAUCCUAGUUGGAUACCGGCCCACUAUAUCCGAGUUGUUUAUUACCCGAUAUUCCAUUAACCUUUCAAAUAAAAUCAUUUAAUGCACUUUUCGAAAUUAUGCAUAUGACCCACACAUAACAUCACAAAUGUCAAUCAAGUAUCACAAAUCACACAAAUACCACAAUUUACCACAUAUUUAUGAUUUGGGCAAAACUCCCAAAUUCACACACAUAAAUACACAAUCACACACGGCACACACACCAUGCACAAUCAGCACACACACCUUCACACAAUUUCAGCAUACACACAUGCACAAUCAACACAUUAAACUUCACUAAUUACUCAUCAAAGCAAGCUCAAGAACAAAACACCUUUUUACCUUCAUUUAAUGGACUUAUUACCACAUCUAGGUAAUAAUCCAUUCAAAUCAAUUUCCACAGCCAUUAAACACAUCCAACCGAAAUUAAAGUACUACAAAUACUAUAAUCCAUCAUUCAUCACCAUUAUAUCAAGAAUAGAAGCAUUAAGGCACAAAAUAUAUUAAAUGACAUGCAUAAUGUCUAAAUUUCGAAAUAUUAGCAAAUAAAUUCCAAAAUUUCUCAAAUUAAAUCCUAGAACUCCUAACUGACUCAAAUUCCAGAUUCUGAAAUUAUUUUAAAGUUUCACAAAGUUUCGAAUUUUCUUGAAAUAAAAUUCAGGAAAAUCCCUUUUUAAAUUUAAAAAUCCAAAACUCUUGUAUAUCUCUAAUUAAUUUAAAAACUUGUUAAAUAAAACUUUUUCCUAUCUAAUACUUGCUGAAAAACAGAUUCAAACUUUAAAAAUGAGAGAUUUUUCAGAAAUUGCAGUUUUGACCCAAAAGUUUCGAAAUAUACACAUGCAACCACACUAGAAGUUCAAAAUCACCUUUUUCUUGAAAACCCCUAACAAAUCUGAAAUUCCACUUUAUGAGAUGCAGAAAAUGAAUUUGAAAAGUCUCUUUAUGCAGAAAUUUCGGAAAUUGCAUAAUUUGCCCCAAAAUCUCUAGAUCUACACAUGCAAGUCUAUUAAAACUUCAAAAUCGACUUUUUCUUACAAAAAUCCUUUAAAUCCGAAAAUCUUGUUCAAUAAAUGCUGGAAAUCAGUUUUGAAAAACCUUUUUCGGACAAACUUUACAAAAAUUACAGAUUUGGCCCAAACUUUCGAAGAUCUACACAUGCAACCACAAAAAGUUAAAAAUUUCAUUUUCUUGAAAAACCCCUUUUUGAAAUCUGAAAUUCUCAAGGCUUUUGGCCAAUAAAUGCUGCAUCUAACCACUAUCAACAUAGAUUAUGCAUGCAAGAACAAGAAUUUAACAAGAAACACUAAAUUUCCAUUUUUCUUCAAAAAGCCCCAAAUUCUCGAAAUCUUUCCCAAUCUUUUAAAAUUUCAUAAAAAAUCUUUUCAAUACUAUUGAUGCCAUUUAAUUGCAGCAAGAAUCGGAAAUUCUUACCUUAAGAUCGAAGAAGAAAAAUGGCCAAAAGGAAGAAAAACUUUCAAGCACCAAAGUCUAGCCAAGCCACCUUGAUGGUGAAGGAGAUGGUGUGAGCUUCAAGGAGGGAGGAGUUGUGGUCUCCCGUAAGAAGGCAGGUGGUUUUCACGGUGUUCUUGGAGUAGUCCAAGGCAAGAGUUAAAUAGGGAACUCUCAUGGUUAUAUUGGGAAUUCUUUGGAAAUUAUGAAGUGAGGUGGAGAGAGGAGAGCCGAUGAUGGUGGUGAUGGCUUCGGUGGAGAGAGGGGAGAGAGACAAGUAAUGUGGCAAGGUGUUGGAAGAAGAAAGAUGAAGGGUGUCUCUUCAUCUUUCAAAGGGAGUGUUGAGUGUAGGCUUAGGCAAAAUGAUUAGAGUUUGCCAAGUGUAAUAACAUGCACAAUUAUUCACUAAUUAAUUUAUUAAAAAUAAACACAACUUGCAUAAUUACCACACACACACACAUAAUCCGAGUACACACACACACACACAAUUCGGACAUAUAUAUAUAUUUAUAUAUAUAUAUAUAUAUAUAUGUGUAUAUUUAGGUGUAUAAUGCAAGUAUUAACAUAUAUAUAUGUAUACGUAUGCAUGCAUGUAUGUACGUAUAUAUAUAGGCAUAUAUAUGUAUAUAUAUAUAUAUAUAUAUUCCACAUAACUUACUAAGUGAUUUAUCAACUAGAUAAAAUACGCAAUUAUUCACAUAAUUCACGUAAUUCAUGAAAUUCCUAGAAUUUCAAUUUACGAAAAUAUAAAUAACACAUAUAAUAGCGCACGUAAUUAUUCGCGUAAAUCACAAAAUUGAAGUCACGUAAUGCAUAUAAUAAUUUUUCACGUAAUAAUAUUACCUAAGGGUUCUCGAGUUAGAAAUAUUAAUCUCGGGUUUUAGGAUUUUCGGGUUUUGGAAAGGUGGGGUGUUACAUGGGAACUUUGUGAUAGUUUUCCAUGAGAAAGAUCCUUUAAAAAUAAAAACCAACCAUGCCUUCAUCCAAUUUUGUUUAGACUGCCAAUUUGUAUUUUAUGUUUCCCCUUGUCUUCACAAUAGUUAUGAUUAUCAAGUGACCCCGAUAAUAUGUUUAAUCAUGUUGUCCCUUUUCAAGAAGCUUACAUAAUACUACACAUGCAUAACCGGAGAAAAAGAAGAAAAAAAAAAACUGAUAGUUUUACAUAGAACACGGGUGAAGAUGCUCACCUGGUUUCCUGCAUAUCUUUGUUGGAUAGCUUUGAUCUUUGGUUGAAGAUUCUGCAUUGCUAGCGUUGAUUCGACCUUAUAUAUAAACAAUUUCAGAUUAUUCAAUAGAUACUAUCUAGAUAGAAAUCGAUAUUUAUCGAAUGAAGAUAAUCAUACACAAGGCAGAAGUAAGAAAUCAUACACACAAUAAAGUAAGUAAACCCCGAGAAACAUAAAUAGUUCAAUAAAUAAAUAAAGUAGGCUAGAGCAAACUGAGUGGCAAGAGUACCUGUUGCUUGGUCAAUGGAAAUGUGGCAACUUUGACAAGAAUAGUGAGCAGUAUUAUCGCAAAUCCAUACGAAUACGACACAUGGACAGCUGCAAAUCCAUCCUUGAGGACCUGAUGCAAGUAAAGUUUUCGUGUUCAUGAAUUAUGUUAAUGCCUUGACAAAAAGUGUUUGAAUUAAGGGUUUUCAAAUUCUUGGUUAUUGAACUUUAUUACGAGGCAGCUCAAAAUUGACUUUCGAUCACCAUACAUGAUGAUAAAUGAUUAUCUUGUUUAAUGUUUUCACUUGUAGAACUGAUUUAAAGUAAAGCUCUUCUUACCUUCAAGACAACUUCCAUCCGCCUCCGUCCGCCGUCGCCACGGCAGCGUCGGCGAGAGUGUACAUCAAGCUCUCAGCUCUCUCAAUUGAGACUGAAUUUAACUUUGGUACUAAUCCAUGGCGGGGGAAGGAGAGGAGGAGUUCCCAGGAAAGAAGGGGAUCCCAGGAAAGAAGGGGAUGAAAUCAGAGCCCUCGCCAUGGAAAUUUAAGGUGAAAAAAUACGGAAAUUCGAUUCUCCGAAAAUCCGGGUCUGCUUCUUCUUAUUCUUCUUUGAGAUUUUUACAGGUGAUGAGUGGAUGGGAUAUUGUCAUUUCUUUCAGGAUUUGUCUGUGUGUGGGGCGUUUAGUCUUUUAGUCUUUUCGUGCAUCCCUCGGUCAAGCUAGGAGGUUAAACGAAUAAAUAUCAGGUUGUUAAAAUAUUUAUGUUGUCAUUCUUACCAAAAAAAAGAAAUCCGGAGAAUUACAUUUUUGGCCCCUCGUAUUUUGACCGACUCCACUUUUGAUCCUCGUUGUUCUAACGUUCACCUCCAAGAUUCAAUUUUAAACACUUUAGAUCACCGCCAUUACAUGCCCCGUUAGAAAGUAACAGAAAAACAAUAUUUUGGGGCCAAAAUUGAAUUUUUUUUUUUUGGACUGGAAAAUAAAAUAAAAUUAACUAAAUAAAUUAUUUUUAAUUAUACUUAAUAUUGUUAUAUUAUACUAUUUAUAAUUAAAUUUUUAAUUAUAAAACAAUAAAUUGACUACACAAAUAUCAUGAUCAUCUAUGCUUAAUAUUAUUAAAAAAAUUAAUUAUAAGCAGUAUAAUUUAAAUUUUUAAUUAUUUUUCAGUCACAAAAUAAUUUUAAAUUUAAUUUUGGCCCCAAAAUAGUAUUUUUCGUUACUUACUAAUAAAUAUAUAACGGCGAUGACCGAAUGUAUUUAAAAUUGAACCUUUGAGGUGAACUUUGGAACAACGGACACAAAAAGCUGGAUCGGAUCAACAUGACGGUCCAAAAGUGUAAUAUAAUCCUCCCAAAAAAAUCUUUAUUGAGUUUUUCUAAGAUUAACUAACAUAAAAAUAAAUAAUUUAAUAAAUCCAAUUGUCUUAUAGUACGAUUACAUAAUAUUUAAGGGUUAAUCCGCAAGUUAUUGAAAUAUCAAACUUCAAAGAAAGUUCAAUUAUUUAUUUAAUCAUGACUAAUUUCACCAACUAGACGAGGCCUUAAGAUAUAUGUAAACAUUACUCGAGACCGAUGUGUUGUUCUCUUUGAGUUCAUGUACUUUCAUCAAAGUAAUGCACUAUUUUUUCAAUAUUAACCUUUGACUGGAAGAUAUUAAAUUAAAUUUACCCUUAGCUGAAGAAAAUUCAGACACAAAAUC
rnacentral:lncRNA from 1 species